rnacentral:rRNA from 1 species
AGAGUUUGAUCAUGGCUCAGAGUGAACGCUGGCGGCGUGCUUAACACAUGCAAGUCGAACGAGAACGGAUUUUAGCUUGCUAAAAUUGUCAGCUAAGUGGCGCACGGGUGAGUAAUAUAUAGGUAAUGUGCCCCUUACAAAGGAAUAACAGUUGGAAACGACUGCUAAUGCCUUAUAUGCCUCUAUCACAAAAGUGAGCGAGGGAAAGUUUUUUCGGUAAGGGAUCGGCCUGUACGGUAUCAGUUAGUUGGUGAGGUAAUGGCUCACCAAGACAAUGACGCCUAACUGGUUUGAGAGGAUGGUCAGUCACACUGGAGCUGAGACACGGUCCAGACUCCUACGGGAGGCAGCAGUGGGGAAUAUUGCACAAUGGGGGAAACCCUGAUGCAGCAACGCCGCGUGGAGGAUGACACAUUUCGGUGCGUAAACUCCUUUUAUGUGGGAAGAUAAUGACGGUAUCACAUGAAUAAGCUCCGGCUAACUCCGUGCCAGCAGCCGCGGUAAUACGGGGGGAGCAAGCGUUACUCGGAAUCACUGGGCGUAAAGAGCAUGUAGGCUGGUAGAAAAGUUGGAAGUGAAAUCCUGUGGCUUAACCAUAGAACUG